rnacentral:tRNA from 1 species
GUGGUGGCUCAGUGGUAGAGUGCUCACCUAGCGCUUGUGAGGCCCUGGGUUUGAUCCUCAACACUACA